rnacentral:lncRNA from 1 species
GUGAUAAAUAAAUAAAUAAAUGACACUCUACGCGUGCGGUGGAGAAGAAAGGAGGGGGAGGGAGAGGAAAGGCGAGGAGAGGGAAGAGAAGUAAGGAGACGAGAACAAGGCGCAGAAAGGACAGAGGCGAAAGGGGAACGGGAGUCACCGAGAAGAGAAAGAAGAAAGGAGAGAGGAGGAGGACGCUGAGGCUGUUCCGGAUUGAAAUGAUCCCGGCUUUGUGCGGCUUUGGGAGGACUCCCCCUUCCGAGUGCCCGGAGGGACCUAGGGAAGUCCUCCUGCCCCGAGCUCCUCCCCACCGGGACCCGGGGGGUGUCUGAGCGCUGGCCGCCGCCACCCCAUAAAUUCCUCGUGGCAACCGGAGGAAGCGCGCCAGGUCUCCGCCGUCCCUCCACUGUCCCGGCUGAUAAUUUACCUCUUUGUCUUUAAUAAAAAGCUGACUUUUUCUGUCAAGCUCUGCACCGGGAAAAUAACAAUCGUAUUUCAGGUUGAAAGCUCCUAUUACUGCUGGGUUUUGGAGGCUGCGAUAAAAUCUUCAUCGACGUGAAGGUACCUUCUGGGUUGGCUUGGGUCGUAAGUCCUAAGAUGGGGGCCGUCCUUCCCUGGGGCGACCGAGAUAGAGAAAGCUCCCGAACCGGCCGCGGGGGGACUUGGCUCCACCCUCCCGUCCCGGGAGAAGAGGACAAAAAGGGGAGAUGGACUUGGAAUGGCCCCGCCCUUCACAGCGCUCCAAUCCUUGGAAACCAAACCUCCUCUCCAAGCCUCCACGUCUAGAAGGGACAAAGGCAGCGAGGAGAUCCAGAGACCGACGGGGAGAUGGUGGCUUUCAGGCUUCUGGUGUGGGUGCAUGGGGGAAAGGUACAAUGGUUAACUUUCCAUCAAAAAUACGGCACCACACGAUGGUCUUGAGAAGACACACUCGGUCUUCUGGUUUAGAAGCAAAUUGACUUCC